GGGCCACAUAGCGGAAGAAGGGCUGGAUCCUUCGGGGUGCAACCUUGCUGAAUUAUUUCCCCUUGUCUUGUGAGUACUUCUUGUUUCCUUGGUGGGUUCGCCCACCACUAGGACAAACAUAAACCUUUUGUAAUUGCAAUCAGCGUCAGUAACAAAUUAAUAAUUACAACUUUCAACAACGGAUCUCUUGGUUCUGGCAUCGAUGAAGAACGCAGCGAAAUGCGAUAAGUAGUGUGAAUUGCAGAAUUCAGUGAAUCAUCGAAUCUUUGAACGCACAUUGCGCCCUUUGGUAUUCCAAAGGGCAUGCCUGUUCGAGCGUCAUUUGUACCCUCAAGCUUUGCUUGGUGUUGGGCGUCUUGUCUCUAGCUUUGCUGGAGACUCGCCUUAAAGUAAUUGGCAGCCGGCCUACUGGUUUCGGAGCGCAGCACAAGUCGCACUCUCUAUCAGCAAAGGUCUAGCAUCCAUUAAGCCUUUUUUCAACUUUUGACCUCGGAUCAGGUAGGGAUACCCGCUGAACUUAAGCAUAUAUUNAA
rnacentral:rRNA from 1 species